rnacentral:rRNA from 1 species
UGGGGAAUUUUGGACAAUGGGCGAAAGCCUGAUCCAGCAAUGCCGCGUGUGUGAAGAAGGCCUUCGGGUUGUAAAGCACUUUUGUCCGGAAAGAAAUCCUUGGCUCUAAUACAGCCGGGGAUGACGGUACCGGAAGAAUAAGCACCGGCUAACUACGUGCCAGCAGCCGCGGUAAUACGUAGGGUGCAAGCGUUAAUCGGAAUUACUGGGCGUAAAGCGUGCGCAGGCGGUUUGCUAAGACCGAUGUGAAAUCCCCGGGCUCAACCUGGGAACUGCAUUGGUGACUGGCAGGCUAGAGUAUGGCAGAGGGGGGUAGAAUUCCACGUGUAGCAGUGAAAUGCGUAGAGAUGUGGAGGAAUACCGAUGGCGAAGGCAGCCCCCUGGGCCAAUACUGACGCUCAUGCACGAAAGCGUGGGGAGCAAACAGGAUUAGAUACCCUGGUAGUCCACGCCCUAAACGAUGUCAACUAGUUGUUGGGGAUUCAUUUCCUUAGUAACGUAGCUAACGCGUGAAGUUGACCGCCUGGGGAGUACGGUCGCAAGAUUAAAACUCAAAUGAAUUGACGGGGUCAUAGCUGUUUCCU